UACAGAGGAUGCAAGCGUUAUCCGGAAUGAUUGGGCGUAAAGCGUCUGUAGGUGGCUUUUUAAGUCCGCCGUCAAAUCCCAGGGCUCAACUCUGGACAGGCGGUGGAAACUACCAAGCUGGAGUACGGUAGGGGCAGAGGGAAUUUCCGGUGGAGCGGUGAAAUGCGUUGAUAUCGGAAGGAACUCCGGCGGCGAAAGCGAUGCACUGGCUGAUUUCUGACGCUGAGGUGCGAAAGCCAGGGGAGCAAACGGG
rnacentral:rRNA from 1 species